CCUACGGGUGGCUGCAGUGGGGAAUAUUGUACAAUGGGGGGAACCCUGAUGCAGCGACGCCGCGUGAGUGAAGAAGUAUUUCGGUAUGUAAAGCUCUAUCAGCAGGGAAGAAGAUGACGGUACCUGACUAAGAAGCCCCGGCUAACUACGUGCCAGCAGCCGCGGUAAUACGUAGGGGGCAAGCGUUAUCCGGAUUUACUGGGUGUAAAGGGAGCGUAGACGGCAGGGCAAGUCUGGAGUGAAAGCCCGGGGCUCAACCCCGGGACUGCUUUGGAAACUGCCAUGCUGGAGUACUGGAGAGGUAAGCGGAAUUCCUAGUGUAGCGGUGAAAUGCGUAGAUAUUAGGAGGAACACCAGUGGCGAAGGCGGCUUACUGGACAGUAACUGACGUUGAGGCUCGAAAGCGUGGGGAGCAAACAGGAUUAGAUACCCGUGUAGUC
rnacentral:rRNA from 1 species